rnacentral:lncRNA from 1 species
CCUGUUAUUUGCAUUUUGUAUAGUUUAGCUUUUAGUUUGUUGUCUAUGGCACCUUUGUAUCCACUACCAAUCCAUAAAUAAUGAAGUUCAUCAAAUUUCAUGCUAAUUGGAUAAUCCAUUUUUAAGUCUUCCAACGGUUGGCGUAAAAGUUGUAUACCAUCAUAGCUAAGAAUGUGGAAUGCAGUAUUAGCUGAAUCUAACACAAUGAUUUUUGCAAAUUCUG